AUGGUAAAAUGGUAUGGCUGAUGGCUUUUGAUUCAUGCAUACAUUGGAUUUAAAUGAGGCAGAGAUGCACAAAGUCGUCAUCCUCACUCUUUCUUUCAGAGUCCUCACAUCCUAGUGGCAGGACAGAGACAAGAUGACUGGUUAUAGCUCAAGACACAGUGAGUGACUUUGAUGUGUUUGAUGUCUAACCAAGCUUGAAGUGCUCAACAAUGCCUGUUGCAGCUGCCAUUGUGGAACACAUUGUUCUCAUCUGCCCAUUCUUCCAGGAGAAGUUUUACACCCCCUAACUCAUCAGAUACAAAUAGACAAUUCUCAGAUGAAGAAAUUAAAACUAUUUAUAGACAUAUGAAAAUAUGCUCCAAAUCAUUAUUAAUCAGGCAAAUGCAAAUUAAGACAACUCUGAGAUACCACUACACACCUGUCAGAUUGGCUAAGAUGGCAGGAAAAAAUAAUGAUGAAUGUUGGAGGAGAUGCGGGAAAACUAGGACACUGGUGCAUUGUAUUUGCCUUGUCCAUCAGAGAGAAAAGUAGAAAAACCUCAAAACAAAGGAGAAGAUUUAAGAAACAUCUGACACUGAAAGAACAUGGCUGACAAUGAACUUUAAAAUCUUCAGGAAUCACUGGAUUCUCUAACACAGGAUGAGACUGUUUCAGUUCUUGAAAAUCAGCAGGAAUCAUUGGAUUCUUUGAGAUGAAAAAUUGUUGAUGAGACUAUUGCAGAACUUCAAAACUUGCAGGAAUUAUUGGAUUCCUGGCACAUGAACAAAUGGACAAUAGAUUUCUUUUGGACUAUUUCUAGGACUUAUGGACAUGUAUAAAUUCUUCAUGUUGAUUCAUGUUAUUUGUUACAUCACUUCUGGCAUGUGUUAUAUUGCUAUGUGCUUAUGUAAUUUAUGUAAUUAUAUGUAAUACCUCCCAUAUUGAUGGAUUUAUGUAUACCUGUUUCAAAUGAGCCCCUUCAAAAACCUGCUAAUCUGAUUUGAUUUCCCAUUUCCUUUGGUGUUUUCAUAUCCCUUCCUGAGGAGUCAGAGAAGGUGUGAUCACCUUCUUUUUUGGGGUUCUCACCUCCUUGAGAAGCCAGGGAAGUCACAACCACCUUAUAUUCUAAAAUCAAAAGAAAGCAGGAGAUAUUAGAAUCCUUACAAGGUGUUAGGUCACUAGAGAUGAUAGAAACAAUGCUUAUGUAAUUGGUUCACACCUUUGGAGUUCACACCUUUGGGAGAGUUCACACAUUAGAGCUCACACAUUUAAGAGAGUUUACACAUUAGAGGUCACACUUUAGCGUUCACACUUUUAGAGAGCUUAUAUAAGCUAGAAGCCUCCAGGAAGAGAAGGAGACUUCAGGAGAUUCACAAAUCAGGAGUCAGUUUAGGAGAGUGAGAGAGCCAGAAUUCAGUUGGGAGAUUCAGAGCCAGGAUUCAGAGGGAGCUGGAGGCUGAAGCUAAAGCUGGAAGAGAAAAAGGACUAGUGGCAAGAGCUCUCGGAAUCUAAGAAAACUAACCGGGCUAUUUUGGAAGAGAUAAUAAAGGACUGAACUUUUAACAGCUGGCUGUAUUUGAGGUGAUUAUUGAUCUGAACUGAAACUAAGGCUGCCUCCAGAAGGACCCCAAGAAAUCUGCUCCUAGAGAAUGAUUAUAUAUUAGAAAAGAAGAACACUACAGUGGAGUUGUGAAUGAAUCCAACCAUUCUGGAGAGGAAUCUGGAAUUAUGCCCCAAAGUUAUCAAACUCUGCAUCCUCUUUGAUCCAGCAGUGUUACUACUGGGCUUAUAUCCCAAAGAGAUACUAAAGAAGGGAAAGGGAACUGUAUGUGCAAGAUGUUUGUGGCAGCCCUGUUUGUAGUGGCUAGAAACUGGAAAAUGAAUGGAUGAUUAUUAAUUGGAGAAUGGUUGGGUAAAUUGUGGUAUAUGAAUGUUAUGAAAUGUUGUUCUGUAAGAAAUGACCAGCUGAGAAACUGGAAAUUGAAUGGAUGCCCAUCAAUUGGAGAAUGGCUGGGUAAAUUGUGGUAUAUGAAUGUUAUGGAAUAUUAUUGUUCUGUAAGAAAUGACUAGCAGGAUGAAUAGAGAGAGGCUUGGAGAGACUUACAUGAACUGAUGCUAAGUGAAAUGAGCAGAACCAGGAGAUCAUUAUACACUUCAACAAUGAUACUGUAUGAGGAUGUAUUCUGAUGGAAGUAGAUUUCUUUGACAAAGAGACCUAACUUAGUUUCAAUUGAUAAAUGAUGGACAGAAGCAGCUAUACCCAAAGAAAGAACACUGGGAAAUGAAUGUAAACUAUUUGCAUUUUUGUUUUUCUUCCCGGGUUAUUUUUACCUUCUGAAUCCAACUCUCCCUGUGCAACAAGAGAACUGUUCGGUUCUGCAAACAUAUAUUGUAUCUAGGAUAUACUGCAACAUAUCUAACAUAUAUAGGACUGCUUGCCAUCUAGGGGAGGGGGGGAAAGGAAGGAGGGGAAAAAUCGGAAUAGAAGCGAGUGCAAGGGAUAAUGUAAAAAAAUUACCCUGGCAUGGGUUCUGUCAAUAAAAAGUUAUUAUAAAAUAAAAGAAAAAAGAAAUGACCAGCUGGAUGAAUACAGAGAGGCUUGGAGAGACUUACAUGAACUGAUGCUGAGUGAAAUGAGCAGAACCAGGAAGUCAUUAUAUUCUUCAACAACAAUACUGUGUGAGGAUGUUCUGAUGGAAGUGGAUUUCUUUGACAAAGAGAAGAUCCAAUUCAGUUCCAGUUGAUCAAUGAUGGACAGAAUCAGCUACACCCAGAGAAGGAACACUGGGAAAUGAAUAUGGACUACUUGCAUUUUUGUUUUUCUUUCCAGGUUAUUUUUACCUUCUGAAUCCAACUCUUCUUGUGCAACAAGAGAAUUGUAUGGUUCUGCACACAUAUAUUGUAUCUAGGAUAUACUAUAACAUAUUUAACAUGUAUAAAACUACCUGCCAUCUAGGGGAGGCGGGGAGGGAGGGAAGGGAAAAGUCGGAACAGAAGUGAGUGCAAGGGAUAAUGUAUAAUUUUUUACAUUACCUAUGCAUAUGUUCUGUCAAUAAAAAGUUAUUAAAAAAGGAAA